CGCUCACAUACACCUCAGACCAGGUUAGAGGGGGACAAGGUUGUGUGUGUGUGUAAGUGUGUGUGCAUCUGUGUGUGUCAUCAAAACAGGGCAGCUCACUCCAAAGUCCCUAAAUCAGCCAGGACAUUUCUAUUGUCAACACAACACUAACAGCAAUGCUGAGGCCAUCUGUUUCCAUGGGAAACUGUCCAACAAGCAGCUUUAGAACCUGUUCAUUCACAUAAACAUGUUGUUACUUCUACUGUGCAUUAACAUGAUAACAAAUGUAAUUGUCUUGUAAAAAAGUGUUAUUGUUAGAUUUGUUUCUCCCAAGUGAUAUUUUUGUGUUUGAAGUAUUAGCCAGGCUGAUAGAAAAGUAGUGUUGUGUCAAAGUUGAAUGUGCAAUGUCAUUAGUAUUUUUUUACUGAUCUGAUAAGCCUCUGAUGAUCAUGAUAAACCUGUACCUGGUAUAGUUGUGGCAUAAUCCAAUUUUUCCUCAGGAUUUGAGAGACGAAGUUGAAUCAAAUAUGAAGAUGUAGAAUGUCAUUUAACAAAACUGUACUAAAUACUGAGGUCAUGAGUCUAAUUCCCCCCAACAUAACCAUAACCCCCCUCAGAAACAAAGUCUAAAUAUCGAUUUCACAUUUCAUUUAUUCUGUUAACUAUUCAGUUACAUUUUUCUCUACACUGUGAUGAAUACAAUUAGGGUUGGGAGGUAGAUAAUGAAAUUUAAACAUAUUGAGUCUAAAAAUACUGGAAUGAGCCUGUAAAAGACCUUUGUAUAGUAUAAGGUUCAGUUGCUGUAGAAUUUAAACUCUCCCACAAACAAAAUACCCUGAAAAAAAACAUAACAUAAUAAAGGGCCUCAGUGUCCUCAAUGGUUGCUACGACCCUGAUCAUACAGAUAAAAUUCAGAUUUAAAGCAUAGAGAAAACUAAAAGAAAUCUCAAUUUUUAAAGCAGUAGGAGCAGGCCUCUUUUAGCAAUGUGAGAUUGUUCAAUUUAAUAUUAAUAAAUUCAUUAGCAAUAUAAAGAUUUUAGAGUCUCUCAAUAGCAGAUCUGGCUUUUUUGAACAAUUCAAAUUCAAACUUGAUUACAUGACUAACAUACAAAAAUAUUUGCUUAUUACUUGGAAAUAAAAAAUUACAACAAGCUCACAAGAGCAGCUUAUUUGCCAUUCCCUUGAGGGAUGAAUACUUGUUUUUGCAGCCUGUCACACAGUAAACAAUGUGACAGUAAACAUCAUACAGUAUGUUUUAAAUGUGCAAUAAUCAAAGAUAACAGAUGAUACACAUAGAGGGCAUUUUGUGACCCCUUUUUUUGACAAAGUUACAGGGAGUCAGAUAAAGGAGGUGUCUCUUGUUGACAGAUUUUCAGUGGGUGAGAGCCCAUUUCAACCUGGUUGGGGUUGGAUUUCACUGUGUGCUGUAGAAGCCUAUUUGUUGUGGAAAGGAUUACGGUGACCGAUCUAGUCGCAAACAAGAUUAGUGGCAGCGGAUCAUGUUUGAUUGGGAAGCUCCAAAACAGCCCUCUCAACUGUGAGACAAGUUGUUGCCCUGCUUGUAGCCAGCAGGAAGGAAAUCAUGAAAUACACCUGCAAAUAAAUCAGGACAAGAGGACAAUGUGUACUCUUUACUUCACUCUCUCUGACCAACCCACUUCUACAUGGCUCAUUGUUUUAUGUUGUUGCAGAUCUGUCCAGCUCACUCUGAAAAGCAGGAGACAACAAGGCCCACUCCGAAGUAAUUUUGCCUUUAAUUUCAAGAUUGAGCUGUAGAGUCAUGUCUUUUUAUAGAGCUGGACACAAACACACACUCACACAACCACGGUCACACACACUCAGGAGUAUCUGUAAUCCCUAGUUGAGACAGGCAGACACCCCCCGUGCAUCACUCUCCCGUUCAUUCCAUAGAUCUGUCAUCGUCCCUGGACAAAAGCACCUCGCCAGGAUGACUAAUCUGCACUCGGCUCGCUGUCCUGGCUGACUCAGGCUGCCAUGUCGAUUCUAUUUCAGACGUGACUCAGGGAUCGCUGAAGCGAGCUAUGAUUGGAAUGGAGACAAGUCACACAAAGGGGAGACAAAGACAAAGAUGGACAGAGAGCAACAGAGAGAGGGGGAGAAAGAGGAAUUCUAUUCCCAACUCAUUAAAACUUCUUUAGAAGCUGAAAGAUGACUAGAGGCAUAGCAGUGCUUAUAUCAUUCUGUGUGGGUGUGUGUGUGUGUGUGUGUGUGUGUGUGUGUGAGCGUGUGUGUGAGAGAGAGAGAGUGUGUGUCUCAGUCCUCUCUUGUCUCCCCUCCAGCAGUGACAGUGAAGGCUCCAGGGCUGACACAGGGGACAGCCCACCUCAGUCUGUCCCAGAAACCCUCACCUUGUCUGGGCCACUAAGCACACCACAGCCCCUUAAGUCACCAAGCCUACCCAUCCAGACAGUGAUGCUGCUUAGCUGACCUACCCACCACCAAAACCACCAACCUGCAGUAUCCUGAUAUAUCAUCCUCAAUGACCCAAAUUGAUACAUUGCAGAUUGGUGGGCCUGCUGUCCUUGCCAUGCAGUGGUACACCAUUCCUGCUGAAUUAUUCACAUCUUGCAGAGAAGAGGAGCAAAGAGAGACAGACCGUAUAAAGCUAAGCUAAUUAAAGUAGUGGUAUUAAAAGUGUGCCUAUGUCUCUUCCAAGAAGAGAGGAAAGAGAGAUCAGCGGCGAUACCUUUCCUCUCUCCGUGUCUCUAUUACCCCCCCCUUCUCUCGCUUCACUUAUCCCCUUCUUCCCUCGGCUUUCUCAGGAAAAUUACAACCUGACUGCUCACUUUAAUAUUUCAGCAUCUAAGUGAGUGUGACAGGCUCUUCUUUGUGUGCCCCCCCCCCCCUUCCUGUGUCCCUACCUCCAUCCAUUGUGUCGUUUGCUCAUCGGUCCCCCAAUGGUUCAACUCAGAGAGGGAGAGAGAGGGAGACAGAAAAAACCAAAAACAAAUCAGGCUCAAACCAAGGCCUCUCUGCCAGGCUAUCAGGCUGUCUCUCUCUGUCUCUCAGUGAGUUUCAUGACACGUACGCGGCCAUGAACCUACAAUGAGGAGAGGUAUCGCUUCACCCUGAUGUACGCCACUCACACUCACACUCAGGCUUAGACGCACACAGGCAGUGUUUCAGAGUGACAGAGAGGGUAGUGAUCUUAUCCACAGAGACAGACAUGGACUCAGAAUAGAGGUGUGUGUAUGUCUUUGUGUGUUUGUGUAUAUUAGAAGUCACCUCCUAUACUUGAGCCAUUUCAGCUCAUGAAUUCCUUUGAAAAGGCUUUGCUGCAAACAAAACAGGAAUGGGCUUUUGUAUAUGUACGUCUAUGCUCAUAUGUAUCAUUGUGAGCAAAUGAAUCAUAAAUGUGUGUCUGGACACGUAUUAUACACAAACUGUAUUAUACAUGUUGGAGUAUCAGAGGUGUACUUGUUGGUGGAGUGAUAAAGAGUGUGUUAUUGGAGGUGAAUAGCCAAGAAGAUGGUUCAGUGUGUUGUGUGUUCAUAGGCACUAUGAUACACAUCAAUAAUUUAGCUAGUCUCCCCUACUCUCCAUUCAUUCUAUUUUCAUCUCUGCCAUUUGAUAUCCCUGUCUGCUUCCACUGUCAAAACUGAGCGUAUUUGUGUCCAGAAAGCAAGUGAAAAAUAUACAAAGAGCCUGAAUAAACUAGCCCUUUAUUCCAAAAAGUAGGAACGUAAACAACAGCACACCAACAAUGUAUGGACAAAAGCAUUCAGGAAUUACAUAUCUGCACCUACACAUGCGCUGGUAUGUCUGCACACAAACACUGAUUCACACACAAAAAGAAUCACACACAGAAACAGAGACUCUCAGUGAAGUGAGCAGGUAGCGACAUUGUACACAACAUUGAUCAUAUAAUUUACUCCUCAAGCUACAAGGCUAUUGAUCAAAUAAUUCCAUAUGUGGGCCUUGGCCACUGCCAAAUUGCUAAAAUGGGGAUGCUCUACUCAAAGUGUGUCCCAUAAUGGUUUUGGCAUUGAUCGCAGCUAUCCCUCACUCACUCCCAAUGCAAACAAACUGCAUUCAACUGCAGAGAGAGCAAGAAUCAAAUCACACAUGCACGCGCAUGCAGACUGACACUUCAACAUACUUAGAACAUGCACACACAAGCUUUCAGUGCAUGUCCUGUUAUAUAUUUGUGUGUUCAUCAAAUGUUGAAAUGAACUAUUUGCGCUGGGUUUCAGAGUAGAGCUGCAUUGUGUAGCGGCAGGCAGGAUUUUAGGAGUGAUUGGAAGAUUAAGGCCAGUUGAAAGGCCAAUUUGACCCCAUUUUUACUCUGAUGGCUCAGCUGACCGAUUUCCUGCCGCUGAGUCGCCUGGAGGCUGGAGUCACACACAUAUACACACAUGUACAGUAGGUAUGUAAUUUAUGUGUGCAGCACAAGUGCUUGCAUGCAUGUACAUACAAUACCUGUGAGUGUGCGCAUGCAUGUACAAAUGGAUACACAUCCACAGAUGCCAGUUGCUGUUGGCGACAGAGCGUGUGGUGAAAAGUGAAAGGAAAAUAAAUUAAAAAGACACAAUAGGAUGAGUGAAGCAGAGAGAGACAGAGGAAGUGACAAUAGUGAUGAGGUCCAAGUCAUAAAAUCUCAUGGAAGGCUCUUCCCUUCGCAGCCAAAGUGUUGUUAUGCUACUUACAUGUACUUAAUUCUUUAUUUUGGCAGAAAUAUUGUGAGGGAGCAAUAAAAGAGUCUAGAGAGAAAGUCAUUCUUUUUUACGGGCUGACAACACAGGAUGCAUUUCAGCCACAUUUUUCAGCUGUCCAUCUUGCGCGUCUGAUGGAGUAGAUACGUUUCUAUUUUAAUCAAUACAGCUGUCCACAGAGGCCUUGUAAUUGCUCAUGUUUCACCCGUGAUUUUUAUGCACAACAACCCAAAGCAUCCUGCCAAAAUGUAGAUGACCACACAUAAGUACUGUGGCUGAUCGCAUCCUAGACACUGAUGGAAGACUGAAGCUGCUGCUGCUGACCUGCUGACGUGCUGCUUUCAUCAUGUAGCCUCUGUAGACAUGGUGUCAGCCACACUAAGUUGCACAAAACUCAUCACCUUAAAACUUUUCCAAGUUUUCCAAAAAUGCCAGACUUAAUGGUGGUUUAGCGAGCUGAGACUCAGUAGUCCCACUACUUACCAGAUGUUGGCUGUGAUUUACACAUGAUUUGCUGACCACAAGGGGGGUAAUAAGAGAGAGAUUUAGCCCUUUUCCUAUACUUUUUCUUUACAAAAAUAGCCUAAAAAUUGAGUUUUAACACAUAACAAGCAUUUUCAAAUUUAGCUGACUUAUGUGGAUGUAGUCACAGAGAGGAUCACACGAGAUUUGUAGAGGAAAAGAGCUGAGAAGUGUGACUGUGGAAACGUAACACGGGAAGGAAGGAGAGACACAGAGACAGAAAAGAAUGGGAGAGAGAUAGAGUGUGACAGAAAAGGAGAGAGAAGGCGAGUCCAGCUGGUGGCAGAAACAGAGAGAGAUGUAAGGAUAUGACACCUCCUGUCUCUGCACUGGGCCUCACUGGCCUUUGCUGGAACAUACAUGACAGCCCUGUCACACUCAUUUACUCUCUCUCUUUUUCAAGAGAGAUAUUUGUAGUGAGGAGGAGAGUCAUACACAGUGGGCGAGAGAGGGACAGAGAGAAAAAAGGAGAGAAAAAUAAGAGCAAGAAAGAGACAAGGGGAAUGAAAAAAGAUAGAAAGAAAGGUUAAAAGCAGUAGUGACACUGCAUCAACUCACUUUCACAUUGCUUCCACACUGGUGUCUCUCUGCCACAGUACUAAUGUCCUUGUCAUACCACCAGCAUGUGUGUGUGUGUAGUUCCACUCCUCAUAAGGUAAAAAGUAUCAUUUAAACUUUGGAAAUAAAAUAAAAUAAAAUAUUCUUCUCUUUAUCUCUUUGCCUUCAAAACAAACAAAUGUCCCUAUCGUGUAGCUGGAUCAUUCGCUCAUUCUUUCUCUUUAUAAAAUGUUCAAAAUCCAUCCAAAAUAUUUUUUGUGUAGAUACAUUGAUACAAUGGUGAAUAAUUGUUUCUUUUUCUAAUCCAUAGAAACUACAAGGAUAUUCACUAUCCAGUUUAAUCUUCUCCAACAUACUUUUUAUUGGGAUAACCCCAGCUAUUCUAAAAGAAACAUCUACUAACAUAAUAUUUAUCACCAAUUUAUCAUAUUAUAUAUUUCAGUUCAUUUCUUCAUAAAGGGAUGUCCAAAAACAUUGGCACUCCACUUGUGUCAGACGGGGUUCUGUACAGGCCAGUCAAGUUCUUCCACACCAAACCCAGAAAAUAAUUUCUUUAUGGCCCUCGCUUUGUGCAUUUGCUGCAGCAUUAAGAUUUUCCUUAAUUAGAACUUAGGACCAACCCAUGAAAAACAGCCCUAGAUCAAAAGCACAUAAAAGUAGUCAUGGCCAUAUAGACGAUAAAGUGUAUUAUCAAUAUUAAUAUUAUUAA